AAAUGAAGUUGCUGGCCGAAUGUUGCUGGCGAAAUGUAUGGAAUUUGACAGCUUGAAAAGUUGCCAGCCACUUUGUUGCUGUCAAAUUCCAUACAUUUCGCCAGCAACAUUUGGCCAGCAACU
rnacentral:pre_miRNA from 1 species